AAAACAUAACCAAGACAACAAAUAGAACAAGGAAGCAUGGAAACGAUAUCGAUAUGUUUCAUGGUGAUGACUUGAUCAUAGAAUUCUUCAUUUUCUUCUUUGUGGUUGUUCUUGAUGUUCUUGUGAUUGAUGAUGAUGCUGCUGAUUUGAGUCGAUGCAUCGGUACUAGAAGAUGACAACGAGGACAAGGAAUGCAAUGAUGAAAUAUCUUCAAUACUGGUUGU
rnacentral:ribozyme from 12 species